rnacentral:misc_RNA from 1 species
GGGACGGACUCGGUGAUCGGCGUGACGCUGCUGGGCGCCGACGGCUCCGGGGUGCGGAUCCGCGACCUGGAGCGGUGGGGCGGCCUCAUGGGCGACGGCCACGACUACUACGAGCGCGGCAACCUCGACAUCUUCAGCGGCCGGGUACCCUGCUUGUCGUCGACGCCGUGCUCCAUCAACGUCACCUCUGAUGGCAGCGGGCCACACCAUGGUUGGUACUGCAACUAC